CGAAAAACUCGUGAUUUUCCCGCC
rnacentral:siRNA from 1 species